rnacentral:rRNA from 1 species
UACGAAGGGUGCAAACGUUGCUCGGAAUUAUUGGGCGUAAAGCGCACGUAGGCGGCUUGGCAAGUCGGAUGUGAAAUCCCUCGGCUCAACCAAGGAAGUGCAUCCGAAACUGCUGAGCUUGAGUACGAAAGAGGAUCGCGGAAUUCCCGGUGUAGAGGUGAAAUUCGUAGAUAUCGGGAGGAACACCAGUGGCGAAGGCGGCUUUCUGGGCCUUACCUGACGCUGAGACGCGAAAGCGUGGGGAGCGAACAGG